AUUCUUCAAUCCUCCGUGCUAUCUCCUCUAUCUCUCUCUCGCUCUCGCUCUCGCUCUCGCUCAAAGUCCAGACUCCAAACCCUUUCUCACGAUUCCCUAGCUCUCCAUCUCUUUCUCUCUCUCGCCCAAAGUGUUAAACGAAAACCCUAGCUCUCGAUCUCUCUCUCUUGCCCAAAGUCCAGACCAAAGUCUUCUCUCUUCUUUUCUCUUAUCUGUCUAACUUCUCUCUCUCUGCUCUCUUUAUUCUUUCUGUCUCCUUCUCUCUCUCGACCGAGUGCCGAAACCACAACCAUUGCUGUCGGUGCUAUCAGAGGCCACCAUUCACAGAAGACAUAAGCCUUUUUGCUACUCUCGAUUUCAGAGGGGAUUGAAGCGGAAGCCAAUGGCCCUGAUUAAAAAGUUGUAAUUUUUCUUGAUCAUUGUUAUUCUCAUUAAAGUCCUGUCUAAUGUGAUGCGCUUUGUGAUUAAAUAAUGGUGUUCUGGACUUGGAUCUAAGUUAGUUUUACUUAAUAAUAUUUUGUGUCUUGACGUUGUCA